UACGUAGGUGGCAAGCGUUGUCCGGAUUUAUUGGGUUUAAAGGGUGCGUAGGCGGCCCUGUAAGUCAGUGGUGAAAUACUCCAGCUUAACUGGAGGGGUGCCAUUGAUACUGUAGGGCUUGAGUGAAUUUGAGGUAGGCGGAAUUGACGGUGUAGCGGUGAAAUGCUUAGAUAUCGUCAAGAACACCGAUAGUGAAGACAGCUUACCAAGCUUCAACUGACGCUGAGGCACGAAAGUGUGGGGAUCAAACAGG
rnacentral:rRNA from 1 species